rnacentral:rRNA from 1 species
AUUGAACGCUGGCGGCAGGCCUAACACAUGCAAGUCGAGCGGUAGAGAGAAGCUUGCUUCUCUUGAGAGCGGCGGACGGGUGAGUAAUGCCUAGGAAUCUGCCUGGUAGUGGGGGAUAACGUUCGGAAACGAACGCUAAUACCGCAUACGUCCUACGGGAGAAAGCAGGGGACCUUCGGGCCUUGCGCUAUCAGAUGAGCCUAGGUCGGAUUAGCUAGUUGGUGAGGUAAUGGCUCACCAAGGCGACGAUCCGUAACUGGUCUGAGAGGAUGAUCAGUCACACUGGAACUGAGACACGGUCCAGACUCCUACGGGAGGCAGCAGUGGGGAAUAUUGGACAAUGGGCGAAAGCCUGAUCCAGCCAUGCCGCGUGUGUGAAGAAGGUACUUCGGAUUGUAAAGCACUUUAAGUUAGGGAGGAAGGGUAGUAACCUAAUACGUU